rnacentral:rRNA from 1 species
CUUAAAGCAUCCGUAGCCGCCUCUGUAAGUUUUCGGUUAAAUCCAUGUGCUCAACGCAUGGGCUGUCGAAAAUACUGCAUAGCUAGAGAGUGGGAGAGGUAGACGGUACUCGGUAGGAAGGGGUAAAAUCCUUUGAUCUAUCGAUGACCACCUGUGGCGAAGGCGGUCUACCAGAACACGUUCGACGGUGAGGGAUGAAAGCUGGGGGAGCAAACCGGAUUAGAUACCCGGGUAGUCCCAGCUGUAAACGAUGCAGACUCGAUGAUGCAUUGGCAUAUAGCCAGUGCAGUGUCGCAGGGAAGCCGUUAAGUCUGCCGCCUGGGAAGUACGUACGCAAGUAUGAAACUUAAAGGAAUUGGCGGGGGAGCACCACAAGGGGUGAAGCCUGCGGUUCAAUUGGAGUCAACGCCAGAAAUCUUACCCGGAGAGACAGCAGAAUGAAGGUCAAGCUGAAGACUUUACCAGACAAGCUGAGAGGUGGUGCAUGGCCGUCGCCAGCUCGUGCCGUGAGAUGUCCUGUUAAGUCAGGUAACGAGCGAGAUCCCUGCCACUAGUUGCUAUCAUUAUUCUCAGGAAUAGUGGGGCGAAUUAGUGGGACUGCCGUUGUUAAAACGGAGGAAGGAAGGGGCUACGGCAGGUCAGUAUGCCCCGAAACUCUGGGGCCACACGCGGGCUGCAAUGGUAGCGACAAUGAGUUCCAAACUCGAAAGAGAGUGGCAAUCUCUAAACGCUACCACAGUUAUGACUGAGGGCUGUAACUCGCCCUCACGAAUAUGGAAUCCCUAGUAACCGCGUGUCAUUACCGCGCGGUGAAUACGUCCCUGCUCCUUGCACACACCGCCCGUCGUUUCAUCGAAGUUUGCUUUUAGCGAGGUGAUGUUUAAUGACCAUAUCG